rnacentral:rRNA from 1 species
GUGCCAGCAGCCGCGGUAAUACGUAGGGGGCAAGCGUUGUCCGGAAUUACUGGGCGUAAAGCGCGUGUAGGCGGGACGGCAAGUCGGUCGUGAAAGGCUUCGGCUCAACCGGAGAUGGCCGAUCGAAACUGCCGUUCUUGAGGGUCGAAGAGGAGAGUGGAAUUCCUGGUGUAGCGGUGAAAUGCGUAGAGAUCAGGAGGAACACCCAUGGCGAAGGCAGCUCUCUGGUCGACCUCUGACGCUGAGACGCGAAAGCGUGGGGAGCGAACGGGAUUAGAUACCCCUGUAGUCC